rnacentral:rRNA from 1 species
AGAGCAUACGGUGGAUGCCUUGGCGAUAUCUGCCGACGAAGGACGUGACAAGCUGCGAAAAGCUGCGGAGAGAUGCAAAUAAUCGGCGACCCGCAGACAUCCGAAUGGAGAAAUCCGGCUGUGAUGAUGCACAGCCAUCCAUGCCCAAGAGCAUGAGAAGGGAACCGGGCGAACUGAAACAUCUAAGUAACCCGAGGAAAAGAAAUCAAACGAGAUACCCCAAGUAGCGGCGAGCGAACAGGGAAGAAGCCCAAACCGGUGAAGGAAACUUUACCGGGGUUGAGGACCAUCAGACCCGCGAAGAACCUUAGCCGAAACUGUUGGGAAACAGUGCCGAAGACAGUGAAAGCCUGGUAGGCGAAAAAGAGAAACGCGGAGAUGGCACCAGAGUACCGCGGGACACGAGAAAUCCCGUGGGAAGCAGGGGGGACCACCCUCCAAGGCAAAACACAGAUAUCGACCGAUAGCGCAUAGUACCAUGAGGGAAAGGUGAAAAGCACCCCGGGAGGGGAAUGAAAGAGAACCUGAAACCGUAUGUUUACAAGCAGUCGGAGACCGCUUAAUAAUAAGGUCGACGGCGUGCCUAUUGAAGAAUGAACCGGCGAGUUACGAAGCCUGGCAAGGUUAAGCAGGAAAUGCGGAGCCGAAGCGAAAGCGAGUCUUAAGAGGGCGCAAGUCAGGAAGCGUAGACCCGAAACCACAGUGAUCUACCCAUGUCCAGGUUGAAACACAGGUAAAAAUGUGUGGAGGACCGAACCUAUAUCCGUUGAAAAGGGUUAGGAUGAGGUGUGGGUAGGGGUGAAAUUCCAAUCGAACGUGGAGAUAGCUGGUUCUCCCCGAAAUAGCUUUAGGGCUAGCCUCAGGGAAAAGAUUGCAGGCGGUAGAGCACUGAUCAGGAGAGGGACCUACCCGGUUACCAAACCCAGUCAAACUCCGAAUGGCUGCAAUCAUACCUGGGAGUCAGACUGCGACUAAUAAGGGCCGCAGUCAAAAGGGAAACAGCCCAGACCAUCAGCUAAGGUCCCUAAUGCCGUGCUAAGUGGCAAAGGAUGUGGCAUUUCAUAAACAACCAGGAUGUUGGCUCAGAAGCAGCCACUCAUUUAAAGAGUGCGUAAUAGCUCACUGGUCGAGAGACGCUGCGCCGAAAAUGUCCGGGGCUCAAGCACGGAACCGAAGCUAUGGCAUGAUAGCAAUAUCAUGGGUAGGGGAGCGUUCUUAUAAGGAAGAAGCAUGACCGGAAGGACAUGUGGACGAAUAAGAAGUGAGAAUGCCGGUAUGAGUAUCGAAAAGAAAGGUGAGAAUCCUUUCCACCGAAAGCCCGAGGGUUCCUGAGCAACGAUCGUCGACUCAGGGUAAGUCGGGACCUAAGCCGAGGCGAAAAGCGUAGGCGAUGGACAACAGGUUGAAAUUCCUGUACCGGAUCAAGUCGAUUGAGCGAAGGAGCGACGCAGGAGGGCACAUGAUCGCGCGGCUGGAAGAGCGCGUCCAAGUGCGUAUGUUGCAGCAGAGGAAAACCCCUGCGGCUGAAAGCAGAGACAUGAUGGGGAGUUAAAGGAAACUUUGACGAACUCAUGAAUCCCACACUGCCAAGAAAAACUUCUAGCGAGACAAGAUCCGCCCGUACCGUAAACCGACACAGGUAGGCGGGGAGAGAAUCCUAAGGUGCGCGGGAAAACCCUCGUUAAGGAACUCGGCAAAUUGCAUCCGUAACCUAGGGAGAAGGAUGGCCCCCGGUCAGUGAAGAGCAGAAACGCUCAGAGCUAAAAGGGGCGGCAGAAAAGAGGCCCAAGCAACUGUUUACCAAAAACACAGGUGCCUGCGAAAGCGAAAGCUGAAGUAUAGGUGCUGACGCCUGCCCGGUGCCGGAAGGUUAAGGAGAGAAGUUAGCGAACGCGAAGCAUCGAACUGAAGCCCCGGUGAACGGCGGCCGUAACUAUAACGGUCCUAAGGUAGCGAAAUUCCUUGUCGGGUAAGUUCCGACCCGCAUGAAAGGCGUAAUGAUUUGGGCACUGUCUCAACGAGGGGCCCGGUGAAAUUGA